GACGAACGCUGGCGGCGUGCUUAACACAUGCAAGUCGAACGGAAAGGCCCUGCUUUUGUGGGGUGCUCGAGUGGCGAACGGGUGAGUAACACGUGAGUAACCUGCCCUUGACUUUGGGAUAACUUCAGGAAACUGGGGCUAAUACCGGAUAGGAGCUCCUGCUGCAUGGUGGGGGUUGGAAAGUUUCGGCGGUUGGGGAUGGACUCGCGGCUUAUCAGCUUGUUGGUGGGGUAGUGGCUUACCAAGGCUUUGACGGGUAGCCGGCCUGAGAGGGUGACCGGCCACAUUGGGCCUGAGAUACGGCGCAGACUCCUACGGGAGGCAGCAGUGGGGAAUAUUGCACAAUGGGCGGAAGCCUGAUGAAGCAACGCCGCGUGCGGGAUGACGGCCUUCGGGUUGUAAACCGCUUUCGCCUGUGACGAAGCGUGAGUGACGGUAAUGGGUAAAGAAGCACCGGCUAACUACGUG
rnacentral:rRNA from 1 species